rnacentral:rRNA from 1 species
GGUGAACGCUGGCGGCGGGCCUAACACAUGCAAGUCGAACGGAAAGACAGUAAGCUUUUGCCCUUACGGGUGGCGGGUGGCGGGCGGGUGACGAGUGCAUCGGCAUCUUAUUUUUCGUGGGGGAUAACGUAGGGAAGCUUACGCUACUACCGAAUAUGUUGUACCGGUGGGAGCAGGGGAUAAUCGCAGCUUUCGCGUCUGUAUGAGCUGAUGCCGCGUUAGCUAGUUGGGGAGGUAAGGGCCCACCAAGGCAACGAUACGUUGCUUGUCUGAGAGGAUGAUCAGCCACACUGGAACUGAGACACGGUCCAGACUCCUACGGGAGGCAGCAGUGGGGAAUAUUGGACAAUGGGCGCAAGCCUGAUGCAGCCAUACCGCGUGUGUGAAGAAGGCCUUCGGAUCGUAAAGCCCUGUUGUUGGGAAAGAACAGCUGUGUGUUAAUACCCCGCUGUCCUGACGGUACCCAAAGAAUAAGCACCGGCUAACUACGUG